GACGAACGCUGGCGGCGUGCUUAACACAUGCAAGUCGAACGGGUUGAAGUGAUAGCUUGCUAUUAUGGAUGCUAGUGGCAAACGGGUGAGUAACGCGUAGGCAACCUGCCCUUCAGAUGGGGACAACACUUCGAAAGAGGUGCUAAUACCGAAUGACGUAUCCAUUCCGCAUGGAGAGGAUACCAAAGGCCGGGCAACCGGUCACUGAAGGAUGGGCCUGCGUCUGAUUAGCUAGUUGGUGGGGUAACGGCUCACCAAGGCGACGAUCAGUAGCCGGUCUGAGAGGAUGAACGGCCACAUUGGGACUGAGACACGGCCCAA
rnacentral:rRNA from 1 species